AAAGAAUCUGGGCUUGAGUCGGGGUUUUGCUUUCUUGGAGUUUGCAUGCCAUGCUGAUGCUAUGCUUGCUUACAAGCGUCUCCAAAAGCCAGAUGCUAUUUUUGGACACCAUGAGAGGUCAGCUAAGGUGGCCUUUGCCGAGCCUGCUCACGAGCCAGAUCCAGAAGUUAUGUCCCAGGUCAAAUCAGUGUUUGUUGAUGGGAUGCCUCCAUA
rnacentral:misc_RNA from 1 species